rnacentral:misc_RNA from 1 species
AGCGGUUGCCCUCCAGCCCAGUAUAUUCUCGUAUCCCUUGGAGCUCCGAGAGCUUUCAGUAACCUCAUAACCUCAUAGGCAUUCAGAGGACAAAGGCCUGCAAGUUUUCUAUCAUGGUAGCUCAUGUUUGAUCUAGCAGUUAAGAGUUCAGGUCUUCGUAUUCUUUCGUUGUUUAUCAUCUCAUCAUAUUCGGGGCUCAACCCAGGUAGACAACCGGUUCUCACCCAUACAUCCUUCUCCAUACGUAAAUGAAGAGCAAGGUAUGGUCCUUUGCUUCGCAUUCUCUCGGUGAGCUUAUUACCGAGUUCCACAAUUGGUGGAGCGAACCUCAAAGCAUGAAAAGCAACCUUGCAUCUGAGCUUUUGAAGAUCAGAAGGAAGAUCCUUAGAAAGCCUCGAGUCCAA